rnacentral:rRNA from 1 species
GACGAACGCUGGCGGCGUGCCUAAUACAUGCAAGUCGAGCGAAGUUUUUCUGGUGCUUGCACCGGAAAAACUUAGCGGCGAACGGGGGAGUAACACGUAAAGAACCUGCCUCAUAGACUGGGACAACUAUUGGAAACGAUAGCUAAUACCGGAUAACAGCAUUAACUGCAUGGUUGAUGUUUAAAAGUUGGUUUUUCUAACACUAUGAGAUGGCUUUGCGGUGCAUUAGCUAGUUGGUGGGGUAAAGGCCUACCAAGGCGACGAUGCAUAGCCGACCUGAGAGGGGGAUCGGCCACCCUGGCAAUGAGACAGGGCCCCGACACCUAAGGGAGGCAGCAGUAGGGACUCUUCCGCAAUGGAGGAAAGCCUGACAGUGCAACGCCGCGUGAGUCAAGAUGGAGUUAGGUUCGUAAAGCUAUGUUGUUAGGGAAGAAUGAAUGUGCAGUCACAAGACACAGUAGUGACGGUACCUAAGAAGAAAGCCACGGCUAACUACGUG